GCUUGUUGGCGAGGUAACGGCUCACCAAGGCAACGACGGGUAGCUGGUCUGAGAGGAUGGCCAGCCACAUUGGGACUGAGAUACGGCCCAGACUCCUACGGGAGGCAGCAGUGGGGAAUCUUGCGCAAUGGCCUAACGGCUGACGCAGCGACGCCGCGUGUAGGAUGAAGCUCUUCGGAGUGUAAACUACUGUUGCCCGGGACGAAUAGCUCGAUUAAUCGAGCCUGACAGUACCGGGUGAGGAAGCACCGGCUAACUCCGUGCCAGCAGCCGCGGUAAUACGGGGGGUGCGAGCGUUGUCCGGAAUCACUGGGCGUAAAGGGCGCGUAGGUGGCCCGGUCAGUUCGUGGUGAAAGCGCGGGGCUCAACUCCGCGUCGGCCAUGAAUACUGCUGGGCUUGAGCACUGUAGAGGCAGGCGGAAUUCCGGGUGUAGCGGUGGAAUGCGUAGAGAUCCGGAAGAACACCGGUGGCGAAGGCGGCCUGCUGGGCAGUAGCUGACACUGAGGCGCGACAGCGUGGGGAGCAAACAGGAUUAGAUACCCUGGUAGUCCACGCCGUAAACGAUGGGCACUAGGCGCUUGGGGGAGCGACCCCUCGAGGGCCGGCGCUAACGCAUUAAGUGCCCCGCCUGGGGAGUACGG
rnacentral:rRNA from 1 species